ensembl:lncRNA
AUAGAAACAACAUUGAAUGUAAACUAAGACAGUUUUUCCAAAAGCACUGAUAUUAACAUAUUGUAUGCAGUAAAACAUGUUCAUGGAAUUGGCCUAUUUUCUGUACUAACUUUUCCCCUACUAAUUAUUUCCCAUACUAACUUCACUUUUACUUGAUGUUUGUCUUUAUGUUUGUCUUUACAAAAGUUUGUCUUUCCCAUAUUAUCGUGUCAAGUCCAUCUUAUCAUUUCCGGGACAGUCUCCAUUGCUUUCUAGCCACUGACGGCUUCUUCUCUGCUGGCCAGUUCACAUCUGCCACUUUCACACAUUCAGGUGGUCCUCCAAUUACUUCCAGAUACUGUGGUAAAUCUGAGAUGACCUUUUGUUCACUGGCAGCAGGUAUUGCAUCAGACACACAAUCUGAACAUCCCCAUACCAGUUUAUCAUCUCUUGGGCUUGUUGACUCCAUUCCUGUGCAUGCACUUUGACCUUUUGUUCUUUGACCUCCAGUAUAACGCCAGGGUAUGGUUGUUCAUCCUAGUUCACAAUGCACCACUGUCCAGUGUGGUGAGCCUCGAUGACAUCUGGACGAAGUGGAGCUGAGGUAUCUGGGUUGGCGACAUCUGGACGAAGUGGAGCUGAGGUAUCUGGGUCGGCGACAUCUGGACGAAGUGGAGCUGAGGUAUCUGGGUCGAUGACAUCUGGACAAAGUGGAGCUGAGGUAUCUGGAUGAAGCGGAGCUGAGGUAUCUGGGUCGAUGACAUCUGGACGAAGCGGAGCUGAGUUAUCUGGGUCGAUGACAUCUGGACAAAGUGGAGCUGAGGUAUCUGGGUCGGCGACAUCUGGACAAAGCGGAGCUGAGAUAUCUGGGUCGGCGACAUCUGGACAAAGUGGAGCUGAGAGACCAUGGCCAUUAGCCGGGGCUGUGAUUUCUUGGAGUCUAUAACAUGGGCAAUCCCACAUGCUAUGCGCUGCUUGGCAGAGACAACUGUCUCUGUAUUUGAGGAUGCCAGGCACGAUACACUUUCCUUUUAUGGUGACCAGAGGUACCCCAGAAAUCCUCUGUGCCUUACUUUCCACCUCUGCCUCACUGACAUAAUACAACUGUAUUUGAGUGCCAGAGUCCCUUACCUCCCGAUAGAAAUACAUUGUGUCCGUUAUGUCUUUUCAGUGGUGGACCAAGAGGUCAGCUGACCCGCCCACUCCAACACUGUUUCUCCUGCUCUCAACAUCUGUGUUAUUUCUGUCUGACCCACCAUUGCUUUCACUCAUGUCUUGUUCCACUUUCUGUGACAACAUUCAUUCUUUUUUUUUUCAACUCUCUAAAACCUUUCACUAAAUCCUGUGUUUUUUUCCAAGGUAGGUUGCUCGGUGAUCCAGGUCAGCAUCCCUGCGCGGUCAAAUCAAAUUUAUUUAUCAGCUGAUAUCUCAAAGUGCUGUACAGAAACCCAGCCUAAAACCCCAAACAGCAAGCAAUGCAGGUGUAGAAGCACGGUGGCUAGGAAAAACUCCCUAGAAAGGCCAAAACCUAGGAAGAAACCUAGAGAGGAACCAGGCUAUGUGGGGUGGCCAGUCCUCUUCUGGCUGUGCCGGGUGGAGAUUAUAACAGAACAUGGCCAAGAUGUUCAAAUGUUCAUAAAUGACCAGCAUGGUCGAAUAAUAAUAAGGAAGAACAGUUGAA